rnacentral:lncRNA from 1 species
GGUUUGAACAUGUGUUUAUAAGUAAGGACAAUUCUGAUUUCAAAAGUUGGUUUUUUGGGAUUGUGUUAGGUCCAGUCACGAUUUCUAAGGAGGUAUCGGGGCCUCUCCAAGAUUCGUUGGGCCACUUGUUAUCAGGGCAUUUUUCAGUGUGAAUUAACUCACACAUGCACUUGAAUGAGCAAAAACAAAAGGGAGAAGGACAAUUUUUAUCAGGUUUUCGAUAUCGGGUCACCCACCAUUUAUUCCACCAACCAAGCCCGAUGGUCAUGA